GACAAUCAAUCGACUCUUCCAUUUCUUUAUCGUUUCAUCUAUCUGUACAUUGACGUUAUCACCUCCACUCUUGACCAUUCAAUGGUAUCCUUUACUCUUUUCUUCAUGUUUCUUUCAACCUCUCUUUGUUUCUCUUUUUAUUUAAACAUCUUCACUGAAUCUUACAUGCAACCAAAAUCUUUAAUUUGUGUCUCUUCGCAUCCAGUUGUUCCUAUUUCUAAUCGUUUUGAUGAUAUUAAUCGGUGGGGCUGUGUAUUCCAUAUCGGCGUGUUCUCUCUGAUCCCGACGUUUCAUCUGACUCGCUGGUGGCUCGAUCAUGGUGGGAUCGAUGGUAACAGCUAAUGGAAAGACUGAGAAGAUAGAUACAGGUUUACCUGAUCCUUUUCUUGAACGAUUGAAGAUCAACUUGCUAAAGGUUGUUUGAUUUCUGAGCAAUCCGGGUGUCCUAGAACGUGAUUACACUUUAUAAAAUGAGAGAUCAUGCAGAUUAAGGAAGUAAUUGGCAUCCAAACAACUUUGAGGAGGCAUUAACUGUUGUAGUUAACUUUGAUUUUUACAUAUACUUUCUUUGGUAUACUAUAAUGAUUCAAUGUUUUUUAGAUGCCAAUAUCUAACAUUGUGUUUGCCUCUUGGCCCUUGAUCGUACAGUUUAACCAAUAUCUGAGAACGUGAAUCAGGUAGGAAGGAUUGCUACAUCUCAAUAAGGAGAAAGUCAUUGUCUGUUAUGAGGGUUCAAUGCAUGAUAGUUUUGGAGACAAGGACUACGGUGAUUCAGAAAGAACAAUAACAAAGACACACGAAUCUUGAUACUUUCAUAGUAAACAGAGCGUGAAGAUGCUAUAAGAUGCGAACCACUCAAGGUUCAUGCAGAAAUUAGCACAAGAGUCAGGGAAAGAGGAAGAAGAGGAUCAAGAGAUUGGAGCAGAUAAAGUGUUCAAGAAAGUGAGAAAAAUCUAAGAUCAGGAACAGUCUUACCAAACAUGGUCAUAGUCAUUACCAUGAUCAUGAUCUUGAAGAAGAAUAUGACGAGAAAGAACCAGAAUGGCACAGUGAGCCAGUGUAUACACGGGCGGUGUAACAGGUCAACCUGAGGCACUGAGUCAUUCCGGAGAAACUAAUUUUCGGCACCAGCGGAGAUCGUUCCAACAUGGACAAAAGUUUUUCAGUUUGUGCCUUCCGAUUAUACCAAAUCCGUUGAACUGGAGCCAUUACGAGAUGACGAGAUGAUGGAUACUUCGGAUUUGAUGAUAUGCUGUCUCUUACAUCUUUCGCCAAUUCUUUGGAGUAUAACGUUUGAUGCAUAAAGAUUUAAUCUGUUCACCUAUUCUUUCAUUGGUAACCAAGAAGCUCAUAUCCAAGUGUUCAAGAUUGAGAAUUGACUUAGCUAUCUCAUGUUCUGCUUCAUCAAUGUCAUAGGAUGCCUGCUUAAAGUUCAUGGAUGUGUGGAAGAAAAUCACGAAUCCGGUCAGUGCUUUGAAAUCAUGCAAGAGAAGUAAGGGCAAAACAACCAAGCAUCUCUGCAAUGAAUGACUCAGGGUUUAUGUUCGUAAAUGCUGCAAUCUUACUAUUGUGAUUAUAGAUUCUAAUUUUUUUUUUCAAUCUGGAUAAUGAAACCAAGACCUAGUGUCACACCUGAAAGUAAAAUUUCUGUAACAGAUUCAUUCAAGUGAAUGUAGGAGCUUCGCCUAA